UUGUCGUCAGCUCGUGUCGUGAGAUGUUGGGUUAAGUCCCGCAACGAGCGCAACCCUCGCCUCUAGUUGCCAGCAUUCGGUUGGGCACUCUAGAGGGACUGCCGGCGACAAGUCGGAGGAAGGUGGGGAUGACGUCAAAUCAUCAUGCCCCUUAUGACCUGGGCUACACACGUGCUACAAUGGGCGGUACAAAGGGCUGCGAACCCGCGAGGGGGAGCGAAUCCCAAAAAGCCGCUCUCAGUUCGGAUUGCAGGCUGCAACUCGCCUGCAUGAAGCCGGAAUCGCUAGUAAUCGCGGAUCAGCAUGCCGCGGUCGAAUACGUUCCCGGGCCUU
rnacentral:rRNA from 1 species